rnacentral:misc_RNA from 1 species
UACGGAGUGUGCGAGCGUUACUCGGAUUCACUGGGCAUAAAGCGCACGUAGGCGGGGAUGCAUGUCCGUGGUGAAAUCCCCCAGCUCAACUGGGGAACUGCUGCGGAAACUGUGUCUCUUGAGGACGAGAGGGGAGAGUGGAACUUCUGGUGGAGCGGUGAAAUGCGUAGAUAUCAGAAGGAACACCGGUGGCGAAAGCGACUCUCUGGCUCGUAUCUGACGCUGAGGUGCGAAAGCUUGGGUAGCAAACAGG